UGAAAAUCUGCAUUGGAAAACAGAUACUGCGAGAGAACAGGUUCUGCAGACCAGCAAACAGUCCAGACACUGGAUUUCUUCCCUGCUCGCUGUCUGGCCGCAGCAGGGGACAGACAGGCAGAGCGGGCGUGUGUCAGAAGGUGUUUUCUAGGGGAAAGAAGGAAUAAAAGAAGACCCAGAGGAGAUGCAGUGACAUUGGGAGGUUCAAUAAUUUCCCUGCAGUUGAGGGCCCCUGGACCACUGUUUCCCCAGCAGAGACAAGGUGGUGGCUGGCAUGGAGGGAGCUUCCUUAGAAGAACCCAGAACCCGUGUAUUCCCCUGAGAAGCGUCAUGAAACCUCUCAGAUCUCUAAUCCCUGCACUGCCCUGGAGCAUCAAGGCCCAGCGCUGCUGUUGAAUAUUGUGAAUGUGGUUUUUCCUGACUCACCAUAGAGUCAAUAAUUUCCAGUUU
rnacentral:lncRNA from 1 species